rnacentral:rRNA from 1 species
GGGGUGAGCUGGGAGGUGGUGAGAGGGUAAGGGCAUAUUGGGGGCGUCGGCGGCGGCGAGGAGGGGGAGAGAAGGAGGGAACCGGUUUAAAACGCCCUUUGCGCUGCGGUGGGCCUCUUUGGGAGGAGGGCGUGGAGCGGAGGGUGGGACGGUUUUGGGAGCGGGGAGGAGGAGGAGGAGGAGGAUGCUACCGGCGCGGCUGCGGAGGCGGGCGGCGGCGGGGGCGGCGCCGCGGUCCUGGCUGCGGCGGCCGCGUUCACCACCCGUUGCGGAAGCACGUCGUCAUGAUGUUGUAGGAGGUGGUCAGUGGCCUCGAGCAGAAGGCGAAGAUGGUCCUCCGGUCGGCGUAGCCGGCGGGGCGGUGGUGGCCGCGGCUGUACCUGUGGCAGUGGUGGUACCUCCGCUAAUUGCUCUUCUAGUACAGGUACCUGUAGCGCGCCCGCCUCUAGUCCCCCCACCUGCGCGUCCUCAGCGAUACACCGCCACACUGGCACGAGCAGUGCCCGGUGGAGUGUCCCUUCCUGCUGCAGACGGCGCUCAAGCGCGUCAGGAAGAAGGAGCGCGGCGUCCUCUUCCCAAUGAAGCACGAGUUGCUGUAUGAUGCAAUACAGCCCGUCCCACUCCGGCUGGGCAGUAACGGCGGUGGAGUCGUCGUCGGCGGCCGUGGCCUCAACCUACGUCACCAACGGGGACGACGGCGGAACCGUUUACCAUGACAACGGGGACACCUCUGACACGGAGCGCUCGUCCUCCGAAGCGGCGUCGGUCUCGACCUAGAGAGACUCAGACAAGGAGUAUGGUUGCUCCUCCUCCUAGGGUUCCUCCUCCAAAUGUUGGGUGGCUUACUGCACCUCCACGGACAACACCUCCUUUGUGACCAAGGACUCCAGUAUCUACUUCACGGUUUAUUACAUCGUCGGAGGUAUGGCCAAAGCCGAGGGGGACAUGGUGUACUCCUCCGGGGAUUCUUCAGCAUGCGAAGUUAACAGUUUCAGUACUUUCGUCAAGACGGUGGUUUAAGGUGUCAAGGAAUGUCCGGACGUGGUGGUUUUGGUCUCUUCGUUCGAGGACGAGGACGGGUCAGACACCGACAACUACGAGGUUGAAAGUCAGGAUUAGGACUCUCGUCGUUGUAAGUUCUGGUUCUUCAACUACGCGAACGCCACAUACAUUUUUUAGACGGGAAUGUACGGUGUGGAUCGGUUAAUCUUCUCCUCAAGUUUUCUAAACCAUGAUAAUUUGUACUACCAUAGGUUCAAUCUUCGGUGUUCUAAGUUCCCAAGACGAUACCGAAGUAUCUCAAACUCCUACGGUCGAGUCAAGUUUCACGUGAUCGCCGAAGAGGACACUGCUAACUACUGGCCGGCACGGUGCAGCUUCUUUUUUCUUGAGGACCAAGUGCACCAUCAUCGUCCCCUUCCAAAGGUGGCCCAUCUCCACCAUUAAAGGCUCCACUUCCGUACUCUCCGGCACCAUCAAUGUGACCUCCCUCUCCGAUACCUUCCCCGCUCAUGUUGUUGAUAGCUAGACUAAAACCUCCGUCUCCGCCACCAUCUCCGCCGAGUCCAGCACCUCCACUACAACCGAUGGUCGCCCAACUAGUGAGACCGUGGCCACCAGCACCACCACGGGCCCGUCGACGUUUUCCAAUUACCAAGAAACAAACCUAGCUCUUUUUGACUUCCACUCAGACUUAAGAUCGGUUCUAGUGAAUGUCUACUGGUGACGUCAUGAACCAUCACCAACGUGGUUCGUAGUCGUUUCUCGCUUGGCAUAAAAACUGUCGUAUUACGAUAACAAAUGACUAUCGGUAUAUGUCAAAAAACGUUGAAUAGAGAGACAGGUUAUUUGUAUGAUUCGACUUAUUUGCUUGUAGUGGGGUUAUUUGUUUGCGUGUUCACUGAUCAGACAUACU